rnacentral:rRNA from 1 species
AGAUUGAACGCUGGCGGCAUGCCUUACACAUGCAAGUCGAACGGCAGCACGGGAGCAAUCCUGGUGGCGAGUGGCGAACGGGUGAGUAAUAUAUCGGAACGUGCCCAGUCGUGGGGGAUAACGCAGCGAAAGCUGUGCUAAUACCGCAUACGAUCUAUGGAUGAAAGCGGGGGAUCGCAAGACCUCGCGCGAUUGGAGCGGCCGAUAUCAGAUUAGCUAGUUGUGGGGUAAAAGCCUACCAAGGCGACGAUCUGUAGCUGGUCCGAGAGGACGACCAGCCACACUGGAACUGAGACACGGUCCAGACUCCUACGGGAGGCAGCAGUGGGGAAUUUUGGACAAUGGGCGCAAGCCUGAUCCAGCAAUGCCGCGUGCAGGAUGAAGGCCUUCGGUUGUAAACUGUCUUUUGUACGGAACGAACGUUCUACUCUAAUACAGGGCUAAGUAGACGGUAACCGUAAGAAUAAGACGAACCGCUAACUACGUAGUCACG